GACGAACGCUGGCGGCGUGCUUAACACAUGCAAGUCGAACGGAAAGGCCUCUUUCGGGGGGUACUCGAGUGGCGAACGGGUGAGUAACACGUGAGUAACCUGCCCUUGACUUUGGGAUAACUUCAGGAAACUGGGGCUAAUACCGGAUAGGAGCUCCUGCUGCAUGAUGGGGGUUGGAAAGUUUCGGCGGUUGGGGAUGGACUCGCGGCUUAUCAGCUUGUUGGUGGGGUAGUGGCUUACCAAGGCUUUGACGGGUAGCCGGCCUGAGAGGGUGACCGGCCACAUUGGGACUGAGAUACGGCCCAGACUGCUACGGGAGGCAGCAGUGGGGAAUAUUGCACAAUGGGUGGAAGCCUGAUGCAGCAACGCCGUGUGCGGGAUGACGGCCUUCGGGCUGUAAACCGCUUUCGCUCAUGACGAAGCUUUGUGUGACGGUAGUGGGUAAAGAAGCACCGGCUAACUACGU
rnacentral:rRNA from 1 species